rnacentral:rRNA from 1 species
CCCUUAGAUGUCCUGGGCCGCACGCGCGUUACACUGAUGCAUUCAACGAGCUUAUAACCUUGGCCGAGAGGCCUGGGCAAUCUUGUUAACGUGCAUCGUGAUAGGGAUAGAUUAUUGAAAUUAUUAAUCUUGAACGAGGAAUUCCUAGUAAACGAAGAUCAUCAAUCUGCAUUGAUUACGUCCCUGCCCUUUGUACACACCGCCCGUCGCACCUACCGAUUGGAUGGUCCGGUGAAGCCUCGGGAUUGUGGUUCUUGCCGCUUUAUUGUGGCGUGACCGCGAGAACUUGUCUAAACCUUAUCAUCUAGAGGAAGGUGAAGUCGUAACA